GUGGGGAAUAUUGGACAAUGGGCGAAAGCCUGAUCCAGCCAUGCCGCGUGUGUGAAGAAGGUCUUCGGAUUGUAAAGCACUUUAAGUUGGGAGGAAGGGCAGUAAGUUAAUACCUUGCUGUUUUGACGUUACCGACAGAAUAAGCACCGGCUAACUUCGUGCCAGCAGCCGCGGUAAUACGAAGGGUGCAAGCGUUAAUCGGAAUUACUGGGCGUAAAGCGCGCGUAGGUGGUUUUGUAAGUUGGAGGUGAGAUCCCCGGGCUCAACCUGGGAACUGCCUCCAAAACUGCAUGACUAGAGUACGGUAGAGGGUAGUGGAAUUUCCUGUGUAGCGGUGAAAUGCGUAGAUAUAGGAAGGAACACCAGUGGCGAAGGCGACUACCUGGACUGAUACUGACACUGAGGUGCGAAAGCGUGGGGAGCAAACAGGAUUAGAAACCCUGGUAGUCC
rnacentral:rRNA from 1 species